GCUGACAGAGAGGCUAGGGUUUGAUGGUGAUGUUUUGUUUUGCAGAGUGGGAGACAGAAUCCUUACAUAUGCUAAGCAUAGUCUACCACUGAGCCAUGUGGCCAGCCAGGGUAUGUGUUUCUAAGUAUGUAAAAACUGCUUAAUUACCUGCCCCAUAUAACACGCUUCCUGUGUGUGUGCCUGUGCCCCAGAGCAGUGCCUUUGCUGGGUUUCCUACCUCAGGAUCUGAUUGGAACGUCGAUCUUAACGUACUUGCACCCAGAAGAUCGGCCUCUGAUGGUUGCAGUACACCAAAAAGUUUUAAAGUACGUGGGCCACCCUCCAUUUGAACACUCACCCAUAAGAUUCUGCACGCAGAAUGGAGAUUAUGUCAUUCUGGAUUCCAGCUGGUCCAGC
rnacentral:lncRNA from 1 species